UAGCGGAGGGGGCUAGCGUUGUUCGGAAUUACUGGGCGUAAAGCGCACGUAGGCGGCUUUGUAAGUUAGAGGUGAAAGCCCGGGGCUCAACUCCGGAAUUGCCUUUAAGACUGCAUCGCUAGAAUUGUGGAGAGGUAAGUGGAAUUCCGAGUGUAGAGGUGAAAUUCGUAGAUAUUCGGAAGAACACCAGUGGCGAAGGCGACUUACUGGACACAUAUUGACGCUGAGGUGCGAAAGCGUGGGGAGCAAACGGG
rnacentral:rRNA from 1 species